rnacentral:rRNA from 1 species
UACGGGGGGGGCAAGCGUUGUUCGGAAUUACUGGGCGUAAAGCGCGCGCAGGCGGUCCGGUAAGUCUCCGGUGAAAUCGCCCGGCUCAACUGGGCGGGUGCCGGGGAGACUGGCGGACUUGAGGAGCCUAGAGGCCGGUGGAACUCCCGGUGUAGUGGUGAAAUGCGUAGAGAUCGGGAAGAACACCAGUGGCGAAGGCGGCCGGCUGGGGGUGUCCUGACGCUGAGGCGCGAAAGCGUGGGGAGCAAACAGG